rnacentral:rRNA from 1 species
CCUACGGGGGGCAGCAGUGGGGAAUAUUGCACAAUGGGGGAAACUCUGAUGCAGCGACGCCGCGUGAAGGAAGAAGGAUUUCGGUAUGUAAACUUCUAUCAGCAGGGAAGAAAAUGACGGUACCUGACUAAGAAGCCUCGGCUAACUAAGUGCUAGCAGCCGCGGUAAUACGAAGGGGGAAAGCGUUAUCCGGAUGUACUGGGUGUAAAGGGAGCGUAGGCGGUUCAGCAAGUCAGAAGUGAAAGCCCGGGGCUCAACUCCGGGACUGCUUUUGAAACUGUUGAACUAGAUUGCAGGAGAGGUAAGUGGAAUUCCUAGUGUAGCGGUGGAAUGCGUAGAUAUUAGGAAGAACACCAGUGGCGAAGGCGGCUUACUGGACUGUAAAUGACGCUGAGGCUCGAAAGCGUGGGGAGCGAACAGGAUUAGAUACCCUUGUAGUC